UGUGUCUCUUAUAAACAUUGCAAGGAUUUGUUAAAAAUCUUAUCAAACAGGAAUGACUUUCACUUUUACCCAUACAAAACAUAAAGCUAAAAGAUUGGACAAAAUAUGUGAAGCAAUGAUUUCCAGACAGUGGACUUUGGACAUUGACAGUGCAAGCCUUUAAUCCCUAACAGAAGAGAAUCUCACGAGAUGACUCUCACUUCAUGCUAGCUCUGUGCCUGGAGAAAAUUUUCUGAGCACAAAGAGGUAGAAUGCAACCAGAAAGAAAACUGUGGCCCUACUGAACUGAGGAAGAAGAGGUCAGAGUUCUGGAAUCAGAAAGAGCAAGUAGGAAGGGUGCUGCACCUAAGGACUCUAGAUCCUUGGUUUGGGACUGGGCCUCACACAUGUAAUGUGAGGCUCUUGAGACUGAGGAGGACUGCUGUUCGGUCAGGAUCAGAAGGAAUAUGCUAGAGUUCAAGCCACCAUGCAAGAUCCGUGAGCAACUCCUUAGGUGAAUUGUGAAAGACAGCCAGGGCCUAUAUUUGGAGUGCAAGGGUUCUGGAAGUUUCUGUAUGUCCUGGAAGUAAUGUGGAUGUGGUAAGAGAACUGGAAAAGAGCAGAGAUCAGGAAGCAGAGGCUGAAGAGUGAGAAGAACACCAGCACUAGAGGCCACCACUGGGAGGUCAGCAGGGGAGAAGUACAGAACCUGAGAGAACAGAUGAAUUCAGCAGUGCUUCAUGGUAUGAACACAGGCUCAGCAUGUUUGUGACCAACUGGGUCCAUCCAGACCACAGCAGGGGCCACCAGGACAGGGGAGGGUGGCAGACCAGGUGCUACUUCAUGCAACAGGUCACUGAGCCUGCUUGAGACAUUAUAUCUGAGAAGACAAGUAGAAAGAAGAAAAAGGUGAAGACUGUGUAUGUAUUUAAUAGGCACUUAUUUAACCAGGGAGAUGAGUGUAGAAUUUAAUUGGAGAAACUAAUGAAUGUAAAAUGGCAAGCAAAAGAGGCAGAAGGCCCUGUGAGGUGGUCCUAAUGAGUCAGUCCAGUUGAGUUAUAGAGAAAUAAAUUUACCAUUUUCUGAAUCAGAAUCAGAGUGGGUCCACUUUGACCUCUCCACUCUGGAUUGCCUCUAAUCAACUCUGUAUUUCAUGGUAUGGUACCCAGAUUUUUGUUGUUAACAAUAGGGACUCUCUGGAAGUUUUCUAUUUUAACUAUUUUUUUUUAUUGAGGUGUAAUUUAACUUAGAUGUUAAAUUUCAGAAUUAAUAAAACUUCAUUCACUAACAUCUGUAUGCCUUAUAAACGUGGAUGCUUGGGGCAAAGCCCCACUUGCUCCAUCAUAAUUACAUGGGCAGAAAUACGGAACAUAAGACGAGUAAAAAGGCUGGGAAGGCAACAAGAUAAAUUUUUUAAAAAUAAAAUUUUUAUUUUAGAAUAGUUUUCGAGUUACAGAAAAAUUCUAAUGGUAGCACAGAAAGCUUUCUUAUACCCUACACCCAGUUCCUUUGUUAUUAAAGUCUUAUAUUAGUGUGGUGCAUUUCUUACAAUUAAUGAACCAGUAUUAAUACAUUGUAAUUAGCUGAAGUUCAUACUUUACUCAUAUUGUCUUAAUUUUUAUUUAGCAUCCCUCUUUUUCUGUUCCGGAAUCCCACCUAGGAUAGUGGGUUUUGUUUAAUUGCCACGUCGCCUUAGUUUCCUCUCAGCUGUGACAGUUUCUCAGACUUUCCUUGUUUUUGAUGACCUUGUUAGUGUUGAGGAGUACUGGUCAGGUAUUUUGUAGAAAGUCCUUUGAUUGGAAUUUGUCUCAUAUUUUUCUCAUGAUUAGUCUAGGUAUGGGUUUCCGGAGAUCACAGGGCAGUAAGGGUACCAUGUUCAUGACAGGAUAGUAAGGGUAUAUGUGUCAAUAUGACUUAUCAUGACUUAUCACUGUUGGUGUUGAUCUUGGUCACCAGGCUGUGGCCGGGUUUGUCAGGUUUCUCCACAUAAACUUACACUCCCCCCAACUUUAUUCUGCUGUGCUCUUUGUAAGGAAGUCUCUAUGUACAGAUCACACCUAAGAAAUGGGGAAUUAUGCUCCACUUCCUUGAGGGUGACGUUUGGACCUAAAAUGAGUUCACUUUUGACACACAAAGUUUGAGAAGCCUUGGAAAUACAUAGUGGAAGCUCUCCGUGGGUGUUUAAUAUGCAAAAUUAUUGUUCCUAGAGAAAUCAGGACAGAGAAGGAGAGAGAGAGAGUAGGAAAUAAGAGCAUCUGAGAAAGAUAAUAUUCAGCAGUACCUAGAAGAGGCACCUGAAGGAGAGAGAUGAAGGGAGAAAUCUGUGGGGAAAAUGGAACAACCGGUAAUGAAGUGUCCAGGAAGCCAAGGGAAAACACACUGAAAAAGGGGAGGACAGUUAGUUAUAUAAAAUGCUGUAAUAAAUUUAUGCAUUUGGUAACUAAUAAAAGUUAAUCAUUGUCUUUUAUUA